UACGGGGGGGGCAAGCGUUGUUCGGAAUUACUGGGCGUAAAGGGCUCGUAGGCGGCCAACUAAGUCAUACGUGAAAUCCCUCGGCUUAACCGGGGAACUGCGUCCGAUACUGGCGGGCUUGAAUCCGGGAGAGGGAUGCGGAAUUCCAGGUGUAGCGGUGAAAUGCGUAGAUAUUGGGAGGAACACCGGUGGCGAAGGCGGCUCACUGGACCGGUACUGACGCUGAGACGCGAAAGCCAGGGGAGCAAACGGG
rnacentral:rRNA from 1 species